UAAUAUAGUUUUAUUUAAAAACAAUCUGUUGUUAAAUCCAGACUUAAGUCUUAUAAUCUUAAUUAUGGGGGCAUCAAAGUUUGAUUUCAAUCUUUAACAUGACCUUACUCAGUCAAUAUUAAAGAUAUCAAGGUUAUAUUUCACAGAAUGUUCUUUACAUUUUGUAGGAUGAAUUUUAUGUAGAAAACAGUAAAAAAUGACUUCAGCUGGGUUUUCACAGACGUAUGUUAGGGUCACUUAUGUUAGAAUUAAGUACACUUAAAAAUGAGUAUGUAUAAUGCAGUAAUAUAUCCUUCUACUAAAAUGUGAGUUUUUUGUGUGAUUGUUGCAGGCAAAAAUCCUUGAUCUUUGCGGCACGUUUUCUUAAAAAAUGUGAUGUAUUACGCAGGAUAUUUAUGCAGUAUUACGUGCUGAAAUUGCGGGAACUUGCAAAAGCUGUUUGAAACUUUUAUUAUGAAAUCAUGCAAGCCCCGCAUAUGUUGCGCACGGAAAUCUGCAAUUUAUGCUGCGAAAGUGCGGCGUAUUUGGAAAAAAUGCGGCCCCCGCAUAAAUAUGCGUACUUUGGAUGAUUCAAAUCGCAUUUUUCUGGAGGGACUGAUUCAUAAAACAUGAGUUGCAUUCAAGAGUUUAUGUAAUUUUACAGGUACACUCUCAGAAUAAAAGAUACAUGAUGUUCCCAACCUUUUUUAAUUCAAGGCCCCCUAGUUGACCACAACAAUAUUUAAAAGCCCACUCAUUCAAUUUUUUCCACAUAAAAUUAACUAGAACUUGGAAUGACUAGACAGAUGUAUAUUUGCUACUAAAAUGGCCAAAAAUAAGAAACAUCUUGAUUUUAGCUUGUUUUAGAUUACUGUUGUACAUUACUGUUUGUUUUGUCCAAUUUUUAAUAAUUUUUCAGUUAUCUUGAGGCCCCCUUGGAAAUCUGCUGAGGCCCCCUUGUGGGCCCUCGACCCCCUGGUUGGGAAACACUGCCUUAUGCUGGGUACACACCAAAAGAUAAUCCGGCUGAUUUUGAGCUGAUUUCCCCCUUUCCGACAAUCCUAGCUAUGUCCCGAUUAUCUUUAUGGUUCUACAGAUUAUCUUGUUUAGAGUGUCCGAACCUGAUCGGAAAAACGUCGGAGCCGCCCGAUCGCGAAUCAGAAUAAAAAAACCUGAUGUGUGGGGGGAACACCGAGGACAAACGCGCGCAUGCUCUUGAGAUUAUCACAUGAAACGAAACAAUAUCCCAUCAGAAAGCGAGGCGAUGGAAGACGGAAGCAGUCAUGGCGCAGCACAAAUUGAAGUUGAACUUGUACAGACCAUGUUCCCACAAUGACUUCACCCAAACCCUUUUCUUUUUAUUCCUUGAAUUUUCUGUGAAAAUCAUUCCAAACACUAUCAUCAAAUUUUCUUCCUGCAUAUCGUCCGCCAUGCUUAUUCUGAAGUCUCGCACGAUUUUGUGAGAUUUCCUGUGUUCACCGUCGAGACUCUGCUUGAAAAUCUGUUCCAUGUGUAGUGUGCUGUAUUUGACACAUCAUGGCACACCACACACUAUAGGAGCAAACUGGUUAAAUCUUUGUGGUCUAUCACAUUUUGAAAAUCUUGUAAAAGAUGUAAAAAAUUAUUUUGGUGUGUACCCGGCAUAAGAGGUACAUACUGGUACCUCAAAGAUACAUAUCUGUACCAUAAUGCAACAUAUUAGGACCUUUUUAAAGGGACACAGUAACAGAAAGGUACCUUUUAUUUCUGAAGAGAGUGUAGGGGCAUAGCGCUAGCAACAUAGAUAUCAUAUAGAAGACUAGAUGCCCUAUUGGCCGCUGGGGACUGAGAAAUACGGCGGCCAUCUUAAACCGGUCGUUCUCCUAGUUUCGUUGCAUGGCAGCAGAUAAGAUGUCAGAGCACUGUGGAGCAUUUUCCUGUUCUAAUCGGCGGACGAUCGCAAAUAGAGCCCGGAGGAUUAUUUUCACAAGUACUUUUUAACAUCGCGGUACUAUUGGUUGUAUUUUGUGAAUAGAAUAUUACCAGAAAAUUGAGAAAGAGCCAGCUUAUUGAUUUUACUGUACUGAAAUCGUAGCCAGCUAACGUUCGCUAUGUUUACUGCACCAGCCGCUGUUCACCCUGCAAGGAGAGUGGGGUGCUGUGAGCUGCGUGAUCCGCCGAGCUUUAAAAAGCUGAGAUGUCAACAGGAACAGAGGAUGUUUUCCUUCGUAGGGAGGACAUUGAGGAGACUCGGUUUGGAAUCGACAACUAUCAGUCUGACUCGUUGUCACUGGUUGUGUCUGUGUUUUUGGCUCCACCAUGUUGCCAAACUCACCUCUCUUGAACUACAGAAAGGGAGCACGGGAAAGAAGCUCUGGACAGGGGUGUGUGUGUGUGUGUGUGCGUGCGUGCGUGCGUGCGCGCGCGUGUGAGUGUGUGGGGGGGUUUACAAAUCAUUUUAAAUUGUUUCUUCACCAUAUUAAAAAGUCUUAUUUUAUUGCAACUAUCUGUUUCUGCAUCUUUGUCAUAUUUAUAGUGUGUGAUUUAUAAAAUAUCUUAUGUCCUACACCA